rnacentral:rRNA from 1 species
UACGAAGGGUGCAAGCGUUAAUCGGAAAUACUGGGCGUAAAGCGCGCGUAGGUGGUUCAGUAAGUUGGAAGUGAAAUCCCCGGGCUCAACCUGGGAACUGCUUUCAAAACUGCUGAGCUAGAGUACGGUAGAGGGUGGUGGAAUUUCCUGUGUAGCGGUGAAAUGCGUAGAUAUAGGAAGGAACACCAGUGGCGAAGGCGACCACCUGGACUGAUACUGACACUGAGGUGCGAAAGCGUGGGGAGCAAACAGG